UACGGGGGGGGCAAGCGUUGUUCGGAAUUACUGGGCGUAAAGGGCGCGUAGGCGGCCUGCUAAGUCAGAUGUGAAAGCCCCGGGCUUAACCUGGGAACUGCGUUUGAAACUGGGAGACUUGAGUGUGGCAGAGGGGGGUGGAAUUCCACGUGUAGCAGUGAAAUGCGUAGAUAUGUGGAGGAACACCAAUGGCGAAGGCAGCCCCCUGGGUCAACACUGACGCUCAUGCACGAAAGCGUGGGGGGCAAACAGG
rnacentral:rRNA from 1 species